GCAGCAAUAUGAAGUUGAAACACCGGUUCUCAUACGAUCACCGAAGUUAAGCAAUGUCGAGCCUGGUCAGUACCAAGAUUCCGCUGAGGAAUACCAGGGACUGUAAU